UACGGAGGGUGCGAGCGUUGUCCGGAAUCACUGGGCGUAAAGGGCGCGUAGGCGGCCUGUCAAGCGUGUGGUGAAAGCCCGGGGCUCAACCCCGGGUCGGCCGUGCGGACUGGCAUGCUCGAGCACUGUAGGGGCGGGUGGAAUUCCGGGUGUAGCGGUGAAAUGCGUAGAUAUCUGGAGGAAUACCGGUGGCGAAGGCGGCAUCCUGGACCGACAUUGACGCUGAUGAGCGAAAGCUAGGGGAGCAAACGGG
rnacentral:rRNA from 1 species